CACGUAGGCGGAUCAGAAAGUUGGGGGUGAAAUCCCGGGGCUCAACCCCGGAACUGCCUCCAAAACUAUUGGUCUAGAGUUCGAGAGAGGUGAGUGGAAUUCCAAGUGUAGAGGUGAAAUUCGUAGAUAUUUGGAGGAACACCAGUGGCGAAGGCGGCUCACUGGCUCGAUACUGACGCUGAGGUGCGAAAGUGUGGGGAGCAAACA
rnacentral:rRNA from 1 species